rnacentral:rRNA from 1 species
AUUAUACGGCGAAACUGCGAAUGGCUCAUUAUAUAAGUUAUCGUUUAUUUGAUAGUACCUUACUACUUGGAUAACCGUGGUAAUUCUAGAGCUAAUACAUGCUGAAAAUCCCGACUUACGGAGGGAUGUAUUUAUUAGAUUAAAAACCAAUGCCCUCUGGGCUCUCUGGUGAUUCAUGAUAACUUCUCGAAUCGCACGGCCUUGCGCCGGCGAUGGUUCAUUCAAAUUUCUUCCCUAUCAACUUUCGAUGUUUGGGUAGUGGCCAAACAUGGUUGCAACGGGUAACGGAGGGUUAGGGCUCGACCCCGGAGAAGGAGCCUGAGAAACGGCUACUACAUCCAAGGAAGGCAGCAGGCGCGCAAAUUACCCAAUCCCGACACGGGGAGGUAGUGACAAUAAAUACUGAUACAGGGCUCUUUUGGGUCUUGUAAUUGGAAUGAGUACAAUUUAAAUCCCUUAACGAGGAACAAUUGGAGGGCAAGUCUGGUGCCAGCAGCCGCGGUAAUUCCAGCUCCAAUAGCGUAUAUUAAAGUUGUUGUGGUUAAAAAGCUCGUAGUUGAACCUUGGGCCUGGCUGGCCGGUCCGCCUCACCGCGUGCACUGGUCCGGCCGGGCCUUUCCCUCUGCGGAACCCCAUGCCCUUCACUGGGCGUGGCGGGGAAACAGGACUUUUACUUUGAAAAAAUUAGAGUGCUCCAGGCAGGCCUAUGCUCGAAUACAUUAGCAUGGAAUAAUGAAAUAGGACGUGCGGUUCUAUUUUGUUGGUUUCUAGGACCGCCGUAAUGAUUAAUAGGGACAGUCGGGGGCAUCAGUAUUCAAUUGUCAGAGGUGAAAUUCUUGGAUUUAUUGAAGACUAACUACUGCGAAAGCAUUUGCCAAGGAUGUUUUCAUUAAUCAGGAACGAAAGUUAGGGGAUCGAAGACGAUCAGAUACCGUCGUAGUCUUAACCAUAAACUAUGCCGACUAGGGAUCGGACGAUGUUAUUAUUUGACUCGUUCGGCACCUUACGAGAAAUCAAAGU